UACGGAGGGUGCAAGCGUUGUUCGGAAUCACUGGGCGUAAAGGGCGUGUAGGCGGCCCGCUUAAGUCUGAUGUGAAAGCCCGGGGCUCACCCCCCGGAAGGGCAUUGGAAACUGGCGGACUCGAGUCCCGGAGAGGAGGGUGGAAUUCCCGGUGUAGCGGGUGAAAUGCGUAGAUAUCGGGAGGAACACCGGACGGCGAAGGCGGCCCUCUGGACGGUGGACUGACGCUAAGACGCGAAAGCCGUGGGGAGCAAACAG
rnacentral:rRNA from 1 species